rnacentral:rRNA from 1 species
GAUGAACGCUGGCGGUCUGCUUAACACAUGCAAGUCGAACGGAAUCCCUCGGGAUUUAGUGGCGGACGGGUGAGUAACACGUAAGAACCUGCCUCUAGGACGGGGACAACAGUUGGAAACGACUGCUAAACCCGGAUGAGCCGAAAGGUAAAAGAUUUAUCGCCUAGAGAGGGGCUUGCGUCUGAUUAGCUAGUUGGUAAGGUAAAGGCUUACCAAGGCGACGAUCAGUAGCUGGUCUGAGAGGAUGAUCAGCCACACUGGGACUGAGACACGGCCCAGACUCCUACGGGAGGCAGCAGUGGGGAAUUUUCCGCAAUGGGCGAAAGCCUGACGGAGCAAGACCGCGUGGGGGAGGAAGGUUCUUGGAUUGACAACCCCUUUUCUCAGGGAAGAACGCAAUGACGGUACCUGAGGAAAAAGCAUCGGCUAACUCCGUGCCAGCCGCCGCCGUAAGAC